rnacentral:rRNA from 1 species
AGUAAUGUAUGGGGAUCUGCCCGGUAGAGGGGGAGUAAUACUGGAAACGGUGGCUAAUACCGCAUAAUGUCUACGGACCAAAGCAGGGGCUCUUCGGACCUUGCACUAUCGGAUGAACCCAUAUGGGAUUAGCUAGUAGGUGGGGUAAAGGCUCACCUAGGCGACGAUCUCUAGCUGGUCUGAGAGGAUGAUCAGCCACACUGGGACUGAGACACGGCCCAG